UCUAAAUCUUAAAUACUGUCGAAUCUUUUAAAUUUAAUGAUUUAUCAUUUAAUUUCUUCUAUAAUAUUUAUACAUUUAUUAUCCUAGUGUAUCUAAUCCUAG